rnacentral:rRNA from 1 species
GGGGGCCCGCAAGCAGCGGAGCAUGUGGUUUAAUUCGAAGCAACGCGAAGAACCUUACCUAGACUUGACAUCUCCUGCAUUACUCUUAAUCGAGGAAGUCCCUUCGGGGACAGGAAGACAGGUGGUGCAUGGUUGUCGUCAGCUCGUGUCGUGAGAUGUUGGGUUAAGUCCCGCAACGAGCGCAACCCUUAUUGUUAGUUGCUACCAUUUAGUUGAGCACUCUAGCGAGACUGCCCGGGUUAACCGGGAGGAAGGUGGGGAUGACGUCAAAUCAUCAUGCCCCUUAUGUCUAGGGCUACACACGUGCUACAAUGGCAAGUACAAAGAGAAGCAAGACUGCGAAGUGGAGCAAAACUCAAAAACUUGUCUCAGUUCGGAUUGUAGGCUGAAACUCGCCUACAUGAAGCUGGAGUUGCUAGUAAUCGCGAAUCAGCAUGUCGCGGUGAAUACGUUCCCGGGCCUUGUACACACC